rnacentral:lncRNA from 12 species
AUGGGUAUAACAAGAUUUUACUUUUUACUGAGAAAAGUAAAUUGUAAUGAGAAAAGAACAAAAUUACAGUUACAUGGAUUCUCAUUAUUCAGGGGUCCUGUAUUUGCAGUUCACCCACUUGCUAAAACGGAAUGCCCAUCAGCGAGCAAACUGAGAGGGUAUGCAGAUUCUUUGGAGUCUGUGAGAAUCCACUGUUUCAUAGUCAGAAAAACAAGCAUUAAAAUAAACAAAAAACUACGAAUGCCCUUUCCUCAGUGAGUGUCUGCCUUUUCACUGACAGCGCUGCAUCCACUAAACAUUCAAACAAGCAUCUUCUGUGACAGACUCCGGAGGCGUUUAACAGGCAUUUUUAUGAGCAUUUAAUGACCAAAUAUUUAUAAAUUCUCACAACACCUCUGUGAAAUAGGUAAGAGAGCACAUCAUUCCUUCAAAAGCAAGCCCUGU